GAUGAACGCUGGCGGCGUGCCUAAUACAUGUAAGUCGAGCGAACAGAUAAGGAGCUUGCUCCUUUGACGUUAGCGGCGGACGGGUGAGUAACACGUGGGUAACCUACCUAUAAGACUGGGAUAACUUCGGGAAACCGGAGCUAAUACCGGAUAACAUUUGGAACCGCAUGGUUCUAAAGUGAAAGAUGGUUUUGCUAUCACUUAUAGAUGGACCCGCGCCGUAUUAGCUAGUUGGUAAGGUAACGGCUUACCAAGGCGACGAUACGUAGCCGACCUGAGAGGGCGAUCGGCCACACUGGAACUGAGACACGGUCCAGACUCCUACGGGAGGCAGCAGUAGGGAAUCUUCCGCAAUGGGCGAAAGCCUGACGGAGCAACGCCGCGUGAGUGAUGAAGGGUUUCGGCUCGUAAAACUCUGUUAUUAGGGAAGAACAAACGUGUAAGUAACUGUGCAUGUCUUGACGGUACCUAAUCAGAAAGCCACGGCUAACUACGUGCCAGCAGCCGCCGUAA
rnacentral:rRNA from 1 species